AUUGAACGCUGGCGGCAUGCCUUACACAUGCAAGUCGAACGGCAGCACGGGUGCUUGCUCCUGGUGGCGAGUGGCGAACGGGUGAGUAAUACAUCGGAACAUGUCCUGUAGUGGGGGAUAGCCCGGCGAAAGCCGGAUUAAUACCGCAUACGAUCCACGGAUGAAAGCGGGGGACCUUCGGGCCUCGCGCUAUAGGGUUGGCCGAUGGCUGAUUAGCUAGUUGGUGGGGUAAAGGCCUACCAAGGCGACGAUCAGUAGCUGGUCUGAGAGGACGACCAGCCACACUGGGACUGAGACACGGCCCAGACUCCUACGGGAGGCAGCAGUGGGGAAUUUUGGACAAUGGGCGAAAGCCUGAUCCAGCAAUGCCGCGUGUGUGAAGAAGGCCUUCGGGUUGUAAAGCACUUUUGUCCGGAAAGAAAUCCUUGACUCUAAUACAGUCGGGGGAUGACGGUACCGGAAGAAUAAGCACCGGCUAACUACGUG
rnacentral:rRNA from 1 species